UCGGGAAUUUUGGGCAAUGGGCGAAAGCCUGACCCAGCAACGCCGCGUGAGGGAUGAAGUAUUUCGGUAUGUAAACCUCGAAAGAAUGGGAAGAAUAAAUGACGGUACCAUUUAUAAGCUCCGGCUAACUACGUGCCAGCAGCCGCGGUAAUACGUAGGGAGCAAGCGUUGUUCGGAUUUACUGGGCGUAAAGGGCGCGUAGGCGGCGCGGUAAGUCACUUGUGAAAUCUCUGAGCUUAACUCAGAACGGCCAAGUGAUACUGCAGUGCUAGAGUGCAGAAAGGGCAAUCGGAAUUCUUGGUGUAGCGGUGAAAUGCGUAGAUAUCAAGAGGAACACCUGAGGCGAAGGCGGGUUGCUAGGCUGACACUGACGCUGAGGCGCGAAAGCCAGGGGAGCAAACG
rnacentral:rRNA from 1 species